CGGGUCCGACCUCCCAACCCCAUGUCAUCCGACACUGUUGCCUCGGGGGCGACCCGGCCUCUUCUGGCGUCGGGGCCCCCGGUGGAUUGUCAAACGCUGCAUCUGUGCGUCUGAGUCAGAUGAUGAAUCAAUCAAAACUUUCAACAACGGAUCUCUUGGUUCUGGUAUCGAUGAAGAACGCAGCGAAAUGCGAUAAGUAAUGUGAAUUGCAGAAUUCAGUGAAUCAUCGAAUCUUUGAACGCACAUUGCGCCCUCUGGUAUUCCGGGGGGCAUGCCUGUUCGAGCGUCAUUACACCAGUCCAGCCUCGCUGGGUCUUGGGCGUCGCGGCCCGCCGCGCGCCCCAAUGUCUCCGGCUGAGCCGUCCGUCUCGAAGCGUUGUGGCAACCCAAAUCGCUUGCGGGAUCGGAGGGUUUGACGCCGUCCAAACACACCACACCAGGUUGACCUCGGAUCAGGUAGGGAUACCCGCUGAACUUAA
rnacentral:rRNA from 1 species